rnacentral:rRNA from 1 species
CAGUCGCCGCGGUAGUACGUAGGUGGCAAGCGUUGUCCGGAAUUAUUGGGCGUAAAGGGCUCGCAGGCGGUUUCUUAAGUCUGAUGUGAAAGCCCCCGGCUCAACCGGGGAGGGUCAUUGGAAACUGGGAAACUUGAGUGCAGAAGAGGAGAGUGGAAUUCCACGUGUAGCGGUGAAAUGCGUAGAGAUGUGGAGGAACACCAGUGGCGAAGGCGACUCUCUGGUCUGUAACUGACGCUGAGGAGCGAAAGCGUGGGGAGCGAACAGGAUUAGAUACCCCUGUAGUCCCUGUCUCUUAUAC